UACGUAGGGAGCAAGCGUUGUCCGGAAUCAUUGGGCGUAAAGCGCGCGUAGGCGGCCCUGUAAGUCCGUUGUGAAAGUCAAAGGCUCAACCUUUGAAAGCCGAUGGAUACUGCAGGGCUAGAGUCCGGAAGAGGCGAGUGGAAUUCCUGGUGUAGCGGUGAAAUGCGCAGAUAUCGGGGAGGAACACCAGUGGCGAAGGCGACUUCCUGGCCUGUUCUUGACGCUGAGGCGCGAAAGCUAGGGUAGCAAACGGG
rnacentral:rRNA from 1 species